rnacentral:rRNA from 1 species
CCUACGGGUGGCAGCAGUAGGGAAUAUUGCUCAAUGGGGGAAACCCUGAUGCAGCAACGCCGCGUGGAGGAUGAAGGUUUUCGGAUUGUAAACUCCUUUUGUUAGAGAAGAUAAUGAUGGUAUCUAACGACUAAGCACCGGCUAAAUACGUGCCAGCAGCCGCGGUAAUACGGAGGGUGCACGCGUUACUCGGAAGCACUGGGCGUAAAGAGCGCGUAGGCGGGAUAGCAAGUCAGAUGUGCAAGCCUAUGGCUUAACCAUAGAAUUGCAUUUGAUACUGGGAUUCUAGAGUAUGGGAGAGGUAGGUGGAAUUCUUGGUGUAGGGGUAAAAUCCGUAGAGA